UUGGUUAAGUUAGAAAGGGCGCACGGUGGAUGCCUUGGCACUAGGAGCCGAAGAAGGACGGGACUAACACCGAUAUGCUUUGGGGAGCUGUACGUAAGCGUUGAUCCAGAGAUUUCCGAAUGGGGGAACCCACUAUCUUUAGUCGGAUAGUAUCCUUACGUGAAUACAUAGCGUGAGGAAGGCAGACCCAGGGAACUGAAACAUCUAAGUACCUGGAGGAAGAGAAAGAAAAAUCGAUUUCCUGAGUAGCGGCGAGCGAAACGGAAAGAGCCCAAACCAAGAAGCUUGCUUCUUGGGGUUGUAGGACACUCUAUACGGAGUUACAAAAGAAAGUUAUAAAUGAAGCGGUCUGGAAAGGCCCGCCAAAGACGGUAACAGCCCGGUAGUUGAAAUGGCUUUCCCUCCAGAGUGGAUCCUGAGUACGGCGGAACACGUGAAAUUCCGUCGGAAUCCGGGAGGACCAUCUCCCAAGGCUAAAUACUCCCUAGUGACCGAUAGUGAACCAGUACCGUGAGGGAAAGGUGAAAAGCACCCCGGAAGGGGAGUGAAACAGUUCCUGAAACCGUGUGCCUACAAGUAGUUAGAGCCCGUUAAUGGGUGAUAGCGUGCCUUUUGUAGAAUGAACCGGCGAGUUACGAUUUGUUGCAAGGUUAAGCGGAAAAAGCGGAGCCGUAGCGAAAGCGAGUCUGAAUAGGGCGCAUAAGUAACAGGUCGUAGACCCGAAACCAGGUGAUCUACCCAUGUCCAGGAUGAAGGUAAGGUAAUACUUACUGGAGGUCCGAACCCACGCACGUUGAAAAGUGCGGGGAUGAGGUGUGGGUAGCGGAGAAAUUCCAAUCGAACUUGGAGAUAGCUGGUUCUCUCCGAAAUAGCUUUAGGGCUAGCCUCGAGGUAAAGAGUCAUGGAGGUAGAGCACUGUUUGGACUAGGGGCCCUUCUCGGGUUACCGAAUUCAGAUAAACUCCGAAUGCCAUGUACUUAUACUCGGGAGUCAGACUGCGAGUGAUAAGAUCCGUAGUCGAAAGGGAAACAGCCCAGACCACCAGUUAAGGUCCCCAAAUAUAUGUUAAGUGGAAAAGGAUGUGGGGUUGCUUAGACAACCAGGAUGUUGGCUUAGAAGCAGCCACCAUUGAAAGAGUGCGUAAUAGCUCACUGGUCGAGUGACCCCGCGCCGAAAAUGUACCGGGGCUAAACAUAUUACCGAAACUGUGGAUGAACCUCUUUAGAGGUUCGUGGUAGGAGAGCGUUCUAAGGGCGGUGAAGUCAGACCGGAAGGACUGGUGGAGCGCUUAGAAGUGAGAAUGCCGGUAUGAGUAGCGAAAGAAGGGUGAGAAUCCCUUCCACCGAAUAUCUAAGGUUUCCUGAGGAAGGCUCGUCCGCUCAGGGUUAGUCGGGACCUAAGCCGAGGCCGAUAGGCGUAGGCGAUGGACAACAGGUAGAGAUUCCUGUACCAGUGCUAAUUGUUUAACCGAUGGGGUGACACAGAAGGAUAGGGAAUCGCACGAAUGGAAAUGUGCGUCCAAGCAGUGAGUGUGAGAAGUAGGCAAAUCC
rnacentral:rRNA from 1 species